CCAAGGGGGAAGACUUGGGAUUGAGUUGUUUCUUUUGAAACAGUCUCUCCAGUUUGAGGAAAGUUCCAUUCCCAAAUAGGUUAAUGUCUGCUUGGGUUGACUGGGGAAGUGGAAGACUGUUACCUCCAAGGAGCUGGAACAUCUGAAAGUUGCCAACCAUCCCAGAGAUGGGCCUUACAGGGAAAACAAGAAACUCCCUAGGGGACAAUCAGUAAUGAUUCUGCCAAAUUGUCACCAUGCCUUGCUUGCCUGCCUUACUACCUAAAACAAACAUCUGCACUCAGAAGAACCCUAUGCCUUUGUUGUUCCUCAAUAAAGUUGUGGUUUUGAAUCAGU